CCUACGCGUGGCAGCCGUGAGGAAUAUUGGUCAAUGGGCGAGAGCCUGCACCAGCCAAGUCGCGUGAAGGAUGACGGCCCUACGGGUUGUCAACUUCUUUUGUCAGGGCGCAAUUGAGUCCACGUGUGGGCUUAGCGAGAGUACCUGAAGAAAAAGCAUCGGCUAACUCCGUGACAGCAGCCGCGGUAAUACGGAGGAUGCGAGCGUUAUGCGGAUUUAUUGGGGUUAAAGGGUGCGUAGGCGGAAUAUCAAGUCAGCGGUAAAAAUUCGGGGCUCAACCCCGUCGUGCCGUUGAAACUGAUGUUCUUGAGUGGGCGAGAAGGAUGCGGAAUGCGUGGGGUAGCGGUGAAAUGCAUAGAUAGCACGCAGAACUCCGAUUGCGAAGGCAGCAUACCGGCGCCCAACUGACGCUGAAGCACGAAAGCGUGGGUAUCGAACAGGAUGAGAUACCCUUGUAGUC
rnacentral:rRNA from 1 species